GAAGCCCUGGAAGACGUCCUAUCAAUGGCUAGUGCCCAAUGGGACUCUGUCCAUGUGGGACAUUGAUACCCAGAAGGGGAGAGACUUUAAGGUGACCUGGCUGUAGGGCUGCUGCCACAGGCAUGGAGUGACUACUUGCCAGCGGCACUAGAGAGGAGACAGUCCACUGAGCCACCACAGCCAGCCACGAAGGGCUGCUCCAGCGGUUGGCCAUCCCUGCGGUAUGCUGCCUCCGUUCCUGAAUGACUCCCUGGUGGAUUGGAGACUGUCCAGUUUGACCAAUGUACAUGGCAGAGGGGCAUUGCUGGCACAUGAUGGCAUCUAUCACAUUGGUGGAUGUGCAGGGAGGAAGCUCCUCGACACUGAGAAAUGCCCAUGCAGUGGGGAAACACAACAGCACCAGCCUUUUAAUGUCACUGAGCCUGUGCAGAGCGAUUCCUUCCUGCGCUUGGGCGGGUGGUGCGGCAUCCUGGAGAUAACAACACGUGCUGGCUCGCAGCGGCUGCUCCACAAUGAGCCUGCUUCCAAAAUGCCUCAGUUUCCCCAGCUGUCAAUGAGAGGUGAUACUUACUGUCUUUGCUCUGUGAUCUUUGGAUGAAAAAUACCCCAUAGGUGUCAAGUUGUUAUCAAAAUUAAUAAUAGCAAUAUUAUAACUAAAUCAUAAUAGUCUCUGCCUCUGACCUGCUGGGACUUGCCCAAGGUCAUACUUCCCCUCUCUGUGCCCCAGUUUCCCGUCUUGUCU